rnacentral:rRNA from 1 species
UACGUAGGGGGCAAGCGUUGUCCGGAUUUAUUGGGCGUAAAGAGCUCGUAGGCGGUUCGGCAGGUCUGCUGUGAAAACUCGAGGCUCAACGUCGAGACGUCGGUUGAAACCGUCUGGCUAGAGUCCGGAAGAGGAGAGUGGAAUUCCCGGUGUAGCGGUGAAAUGCGUAGAUAUCGGAAGGAAGACCAGUGGCGAAGGCGGGUCUCUGGACAGUUCCUGACGCUGAGGCACGAAGGCCAGGGGAGCAAACGGG